GUGAAGUGACUUGCUCAUGGAGCUGAAAUCAGUCGAAGAUACCAGCUGGCUGCAACUGUUUAUUAAAAACACAGCACUGUGCAAACACGAAAGUGGACGUAUACGGUGUGACGCCUGCCCGGUGCCGGAAGGUUAAUUGAUGGGGUUAUCCGUAAGGAGAAGCUCUUGAUCGAAGCCCCGGUAAACGGCGGCCGUAACUAUAACGGUCCUAAGGUAGCGAAAUUCCUUGUCGGGUAAGUUCCGACCUGCACGAAUGGCGUAAUGAUGGCCAGGCUGUCUCCACCCGAGACUCAGUGAAAUUGAACUCGCUGUGAAGAUGCAGUGUACCCGCGGCAAGACGGAAAGACCCCGUGAACCUUUACUAUAGCUUGACACUGAACACUGGUCCUUGAUGUGUAGGAUAGGUGGGAGGCUUUGAAGUGUGGACGCCAGUCUGCAUGGAGCCAUCCUUGAAAUACCACCCUUUAAUGGCUGGUGUUCUAACGUGGGCCCGUAAUCCGGGUUGCGGACAGUGUCUGGUGGGUAGUUUGACUGGGGCGGUCUCCUCCUAAAGAGUAACGGAGGAGCACGAAGGUCAGCUAAUCCUGGUCGGACAUCAGGAGGUUAGUGCAAUGGCAUAAGCUGGCUUGACUGCGAGCGUGACGGCGCGAGCAGGUGCGAAAGCAGGUCAUAGUGAUCCGGUGGUUCUGAAUGGAAGGGCCAUCGCUCAACGGAUAAAAGGUACUCCGGGGAUAACAGGCUGAUACCGCCCAAGAGUUCAUAUCGACGGCGGUGUUUGGCACCUCGAUGUCGGCUCAUCACAUCCUGGGGCUGAAGUAGGUCCCAAGGGUAUGGCUGUUCGCCAUUUAAAGUGGUACGCGAGCUGGGUUUAGAACGUCGUGAGACAGUUCGGUCCCUAUCUGCCGUGGGCGCUGGAGAAUUGAGGGGGGCUGCUCCUAGUACGAGAGGACCGGAGUGGACGCAUCACUGGUGUUCGGGUUGUCAUGCCAAUGGCAUUGCCCGGUAGCUAAAUGCGGAAGAGAUAAGUGCUGAAAGCAUCUAAGCACGAAACUUGCCCCGAGAUGAGUUCUCCCUGACUCC
rnacentral:rRNA from 1 species